CAACAUUCAACAACGGAUCUCUUGGCUCUCGCAUCGAUGAAGAACGCAGCGAAAUGCGAUACGUAAUGUGAAUUGCAGAAUUCAGUGAAUCAUCGAAUCUUUGAACGCACCUUGCGCCCCUUGGCAUUCCGAGGGGCACACGGGUUUGAGUGUCGUGA
rnacentral:rRNA from 1 species